CGUCGCCAUGGCCGGGUGCGGGGCGAAAGGAGAACGGCGACGACUUUCGGUCGGCGAACCGCCGCCACGAACACACGGUAUUAUUUAGCCAUCAACAAUAUAACAGACAUUUUAACCGGCGCGGCAGCCUGUUUGCCGCAGCCGAACUAUACACUUCCCCAUCGGUCCGGGCCCGUGGUCACACUGUGCGCACUCGUCGGCGGCAUCGGAGGCGGGGACUGGUCGGCGUCUACGCAAUCCGCGUUGCCUUCCCGGGCGGACUGCGUUACUUUUGUUCGGGACCGCGGAACGAAAUACACGUCUCUACGCCCGUUUGUGUCUGCUGUAUUGUUUUUCGCACUGUGUUUCUCUCCAAAUUCACCAUUUAUGAAUCGAUAUACACGCGUACGGACGGCGGCCGGCGGGAAUGUUGNUUUGUGCGACCCGCCUCGACGUUUAUGUUUCUGUAUGUUUCGAAGCGUACGCCAUUUUGCCGGUGAAAUGUUCGCUCGUCAUUACGUUAUUGUGCGGACAUUUUGUCCGCACAAUUUUUCCGCGUAAUUGUCCGUGGCCCGUCAACGAACGAAGCCCGGCCCCUCCCCCGGUCGGUUACCCUGAAGCGGUACUGCGAAACCGGCGUGAGGUUGCUGUCCAUGAUUUACCCAUACGAUAUUUUAUUCGUACGUGUACGAUAUCAUAGUCGUUCUCGUCAUUCGAUACCUUUCCGUAAUGGAUGAUGGUGUAAAUCUGAUCGAAUAGCUGAAAAUGGCAUUUAUUCCGGCCGGUGCACGUGGUUUUUUUUCG